AGAGUUUGAUCAUGGCUCAGAGCGAACGCUGGCGGCAGGCCUAAUACAUGCAAGUCGAACGGAUCCUUCGGGAUUAGUGGCGGACGGGUGAGUAACACGUGGGAACGUGCCCUUUGGUUCGGAACAACUCAGGGAAACUUGAGCUAAUACCGGAUGUGCCCUUCGGGGGAAAGAUUUAUCGCCAUUGGAGCGGCCCGCGUCUGAUUAGCUUGUUGGUGAGGUAAAGGCUCACCAAGGCUACGAUCAGUAGCUGGUCUGAGAGGAUGAUCAGCCACACUGGGACUGAGACACGGCCCAGACUCCUACGGGAGGCAGCAGUAGGGAAUCUUGCGCAAUGGGCGAAAGCCUGACGCAGCCAUGCCGCGUGAAUGAUGAAGGUCUUAGGAUUGUAAAAUUCUUUCAGCGGGGACGAUAAUGACGGUACCCGCAGAAGAAGCCCCGGCUAACUUCGUGCCAGCAGCCGCGGUAAUACGAAGGGGGCUAGCGUUGCUCGGAAUUACUGGGCGUAAAGGGCGCGUAGGCGGACAGUUUAGUCAGAGGUAAGAGCCCAGGGCUCAACCUUGGAACUGCCUUUGAUACUGGCUGUCUUGAGUACGGGAGAGGUGUGUGGAACUCCGAGUGUAGAGGUGAAAUUCGUAGAUAUUCGGAAGAACACCAGUGGCGAAGGCGACACACUGGCCCGUUACUGACGCUGAGGCGCGAAAGCGUGGGGAGCAAACAGGAUUAGAUACCCUAGUAGUCC
rnacentral:rRNA from 1 species